AACGAACGCUGGCGGCAUGCCUAACACAUGCAAGUCGAACGAAACCUUCGGGUCUCGUGCCGCACGGGUACUUAACGCGGAGGGACCUGCUCUUACGUUCGGAACAACCCCCCGAAACGGGUGCUAAUAUCGGAUACGGUCUUCGGACCAAAGAUUCAUCGCCUUUGGAUGGGCCGGCGUUGGAUUGUCUAGUUUGUAGGCUAAAUGCCUACCAAGGCGACGAUCCUUAGCUGGUCUGAGAGGAUGAGCAGCCACACUGGGACUGAGACACGGCCCAGACUCCUACGGGAGGCAGCAGUGGGGAAUAUUGGACCAUGGGCGAAGGGCUGAUGCAGCAAUGCCGGGUGAGUGAUGAAGGUCUUAGGGUUGUAAAGCGCUUUUACCCGGGAUGAUAAUGACAGUACCGGGAGAAUAAGCUACGGCUAACUCCGUG
rnacentral:rRNA from 1 species